rnacentral:rRNA from 1 species
CCCUUAGACGUUCUGGGCCGCACGCGCGCUACACUGACCAGUGCAACAAGCAUCCGUCCUUGGCCGACAGGCCCGGGCAAUCUUUGAACGCUGGUCGUGAUGGGGAUAGACUUUUGCAAUUUUUGGUCUUCAACGAGGAAUUCCUAGUAAACGCAAGUCAUCAACUUACAUUGAUUACGUCCCUGCCCUUUGUACACACCGCCCGUCGCACCUACCGAUUGAAUGGUCCGGUGAAGCCUCCGGAUUGGCGCGCACCUCGGUGCCGCCGAGAAGUUGGCUAAACCUUACCAUUUAGAGGAAGGUGAAGUCGUAACA